GCUCCAGUGGCGCAAUCGGUUAGCGUGUGGUACUUAUAAUGCCGAGGUUGUGAGUUCGAGCCUCACCUGGAGCA